CAGAGAACUUGCCCUUCGGGGUAGAUCUCCCACCCUUUGUUUACAAUACCAUUGUUGCUUUGGCAGGCCCGUCUUCGGACCACCGGCACCUUCUGGUCAGUGCCUGUCAAAGGACCCCAAACUCUUUAUAAUUUAUUGUCUGAGUACUAUAUAAUAGUUA
rnacentral:misc_RNA from 1 species